rnacentral:rRNA from 1 species
GACGAACGCUGGCGGCGUGCUUAACACAUGCAAGUCGAGCGGUAAGGCCCCUUCGGGGGUACACGAGCGGCGAACGGGUGGGUAACACGUGAGCAAUCUGCCCAUCACAUCGGGAUAACUCCGGGAAACCGAAGCUAAUACCGAAUACGACCACCUCCGGCAUCGGAUGGUGGUGGAAAGUUCCGGCGGUGAUGGAUGAGCUCGCGGCCUAUCAGCUUGUUGGUGGGGUAACGGCCCACCAAGGCUUCGACGGGUAGCCGGCCUGAGAGGGUGACCGGCCACACUGGGACUGAGAAACGGCCCAGACUCCUACGGGAGGCAGCAGUGGGGAAUAUUGGACAAUGGGCGAAAGCCUGAUCCAGCAACGCCGCGUGAGGGAUGACGGCCUUCGGGUUGUAAACCUCUUUCAGCAGGGACGAAGCGCAAGUGACGGUACCUGCAGAAGAAGCACCGGCCAACUACGUG